CUCUAGGUAGCUUACUAAAAGCGCCGACCUUUUAAGCCGGAGAAGGAUACACUAAUCCCCUAGAAC
rnacentral:tRNA from 1 species